GCCUGGGUGGCUCAGUCAGUUGAGCAUCUGACUUUGGCUCAGGUCAGGAUCUCGCAGUUCGUGAGUUUGAGCCCCGCAUCAGGCU
rnacentral:tRNA from 1 species